GAGGCGAGGUGUUGGCAGGGCCACCGUGUUCCUUCUGGAGGCUCCAGCACAUAGAUAGUCUUUCCUGGCCUGUUGCCAGCUUCUGGAGGUCACCUGUAUUGCUUGACUCAUGGCUUCUCAGUCUUCAAAGACAGUAGUGGCGUCUUCUCCGCUGUGGCCUGUAUCCCUCCUGGAUGAUGACUCUGUUCCCUUCCUUGGGGAAGCUUGUGGAGGGUACGGCUCAGGACUGCUUGGGCUCUGGGACCCUGACAUCUUCUGUCCCUGGCCCAUGGAGGCCUCAGGCAAUGUGUGGCCCACGGGUCAGUGAAUGAAUCAUGAAUGGCUAAGGAAGUACGUGCCUCCCCACCUGGCAGAUCCUGCCCGUUAAAGAGCUGUCACAAGUCCUUUGUGUCCCCAGCCCCAGCUGUCACAGCUUUGAUCACCCUGGAUUGUGAUUGUUUGGCUCCCUCUCCAUCACUGGACUGGGAACCCUACAGGACAGGCAUCCCCAGAGUCGCCCAGUGCAGCACCUGGCCCACACACAGGAGCUAUGUGCAGGAUAAAGCAUAGAAAAGUCAGGAGAGCCAGGAGGUUCUCACUGAGUGUCUGGAUGGUCCUCCAUGUCCUGGUUGGAUGACAAUGCUGUUCUCUCCCUGCAGACCCCCCAAGACCCAACCUGACCUCCCACCCAGAUGGCGAUGAAGAUCUGGAGCCUCUGGCUGGAGGAAGCCCAGAAGCAACAGGCCCUGGUGAGUGGAUGGAGAGGGGCCCCUUGUGUACCUUCUGUCUUCCAGACCUCCAUCCUGAGGCUGCAGCCAGCUUUCCCACAGGUCUACCCAGACAUUACAACGCUCAGCUUCAGGACUUCACUCUGCUUCUCGCUGGUUUCCAUCCCCUUGUCCUGGGAGCUGGGGGGAUCAGGACAUUUUUAUAGACCCUCACUCUAGUGUCUCUCUACCUUGCCCUUCAGCACAGGGUUAUCCUGGUGCCUCUCCACAGGUCCUCCUCUUUCCUUCCAGACUCAACAAGGGUACGCCUUCCACUCUCUCAGUUGGUCUCUCUACUUUCCUGCCUUGUGCUCCCUGAGUGUGUUGACCCUCAUUCUACUUCUUUUACCUCCUUUCCUUCAGGCCCAUUUUUCCUUCCUAUCCCUGGGGCAUAGCAGAUGGCCACAUCAGGGAGUAACUUAAGCCCAGGCCUGAAUGCUGCCAAGAGCAUCUGCCUUGCCAUCUCCCAAGCCGGGGUUCCUCCAGGUGGAUCAGGUUAGGUGGUGAGGAUUCCUGGGGUAUUACCCAUGGUAGAGAUGUCCCCAGCAUGAGAAGCAGGGCCCUGAACCAGAGACCACAGGAGUCUCAGGCUGUACCCCACCCAGUCAGUGUGCAGCUCCCUUCUUGGCUCACCACGCUCAGGCUGGUAUACGUGAGGCCUCUGCAGCCUUCUCUUCAGCACAUCAGUGUCCCUCAUAGGUGACUAACUCAUGCACAGGCUCUCACAGCUUCUGCUUUCUGUUUCUGUCAUCUCAGCAUAUUGGCUGUUUCCAAGCAUAGGUAGCCAUGCCUUUACUAACAAAUACACCUCCAGAUCCUCUAGUAGUGACACUUGAGUUGCAUAGUUACCACAUAAGCGUCUUUCCCCUUUAACGGCAUGCCUCUCUUAGAAGCAGGGCUUAGCUGAUUCACCCUGUAUUCCCAGCUCCUGACAUCAUGCUUGGCAC
rnacentral:sRNA from 1 species